GAUGUGAAGAGACUGUGUUUCCUGACGGGACAGUCGUCAGGGUGGAAAGGAACGGCGACAGAACCAUUGUGUUCAGCAAUGGGCAGAAGGAGAUCCAAACGGCUGGGUUCGAGAGGAGGGAAUACCCCGAUGGUACCGUCAAGACUGUGUACUGCACGGGCUACCGGGAAACGCGGUCUGCAUCCGGGGCCGUGAAGAUCAGGCCUCCCAGAGAAUAAGCAGCACGUUGGAAGUUAGUGGAUUUUUAUGCUCACGUGGAGAAUCCCCCGAACCCAGGGAAGGAAUACCUUCUUGAACAAUCUUAUCGCAAGAUGUGGGUUUAUGUAUGUGUUUUUGAUAUGUACUCGUGUUUUUAUUUGCUGGACAUGAAAGAUCUUAGUUUAGUAGCCGUAAUUAUUUGUCUACUGUGGCCACGUUACGGAGGUCGUCAGUAUGUCGGUAAUGCUGUUUAAAGGGACCCAGGGACAGCGUGCUCUCAGCUCUGAAGGAAAACAGAGGCACUCCCCGGGCAGCUGACCUGGACGGAGACUUUUCCUUUCCGA